rnacentral:rRNA from 1 species
UACGAAGGGGGCUAGCGUUGCUCGGAAUCACUGGGCGUAAAGGGUGCGUAGGCGGGUCUUUAAGUCAGGGGUGAAAUCCUGGAGCUCAACUCCAGAACUGCCUUUGAUACUGAGGAUCUUGAGUUCGGGAGAGGUGAGUGGAACUGCGAGUGUAGAGGUGAAAUUCGUAGAUAUUCGCAAGAACACCAGUGGCGAAGGCGGCUCACUGGCCCGAUACUGACGCUGAGGCACGAAAGUGUGUGGAUCAAACAGG